UACGAGGGGGGCUAGCGUUGCUCGGAAUCACUGGGCGUAAAGCGCACGUAGGCGGAUUUUUAAGUCAGGGGUGAAAUCCUGGAGCUCAACUCCAGAACUGCCUUUGAUACUGGGAAUCUCGAGUCCGGAAGAGGUGAGUGGAACUGCGAAUGUAGAGGUGAAAUUCGUAGAUAUUCGCAAGAACACCAGUGGCGAAGGCGGCUCACUGGUCCGGUACUGACGCUGAGGUGCGAAAGCGUGGGGAGCAAACAGG
rnacentral:rRNA from 1 species